UGUGUUCUUUUUGAUGGCUUGGAAUCAUUUCACAUCAUUAUUGAAUAAAAACAAGGAGAUGGUUGUGAUCUGCUGAAAAGGCAGCCGUGACUUUUGAACAUCCACACCUUUGCAUGUGAGAUCAUGUGCUAAUCUGCGUCUGUGUGGCGUUCGAGGUGUUGGGAUCAGAGCUGGAGGGGUAGAAGGAGUCCUGAGUGGGAGAUGUGCCACCCUCUCUCCUCCCAUGAGCUCUCAAUCAGACGCUGACAUUUCUCUCACAGGAGCAGAGACCUUUAGGUGAUACCUGACAACCGAGCUGCUGGGCAGGACGGUACAGUGACUGAGCAGAGCAGCAUGAUGCAACAGUGUGUGUGAGCUGCAGCAGUACAGGAAGGAAGUGGUCACACAGUCUUCUGGUCUCUGAUGCUGUUUGAUUGACUACUGUGGUCACAUGAUUUCAGAGAAUCGUCUCAGAGACAGUGAAAGUUAACGGGACAGACUGAGCUCAGAGCUGCUGUGACUGCUGACACUUCACCAACAGGCUCUGCAGGAAGCUCCUGAAAAUGGCAGCAAGACAGAGGAGGAGGAGUAUAUCUGAGCCUCUUAAUUUUUCUGACUCAACAGAAAAACUUAUGAGACAUGCAGCUUCAUUCAUCUCAGCGUUUGACGUCAGUGAACCAAAGAUGAGACAGAUUGUAGGAGAGUUUAACAAGAUCAUUGAUGAAGUGACAGAGAUGCAGCAGAUGACAGAUGAACAGAGAAGAAAAGGAGUUCGUAUGAGUGGAAUUCUGAUGGCUGUCGCUCCGUUGACUUUGGGAUUGAGCUUAAUAGGAGCAGCAGUAGCUGCUGCAGAUGUUGUUGGUGCAAACAAGACAAAAAUAAGAGAAGAGAAAGAAAGUGUAAAGAAAGUCAAAGAGCUGGGGAAGGAAUUCAUGGAGAUUGUUGAGCUGCUGAAAAACGACCUGGAAGAAAUAAAGACAACGUAUGAAGAGCUGGAGCAAAGGUCAGCUGAAGGUCAGGCUGCAGACACUCUGUCAGACAUGGAGGAGUUUCAGAGGAUUGUUGGACGAGUGUCUGAGCUGAGAAGAAGGACUGGAGAAGUUUUGGAUGUGACUGUAACAGUGCUGGCACUGAUGCGUGAUCUGUUCAUGUUCAUUCUAAGUGUCUUCAGAGUGACUGCGACCCCUGAAGAGGAUCAGAAGUUAAGAGACUCCAUCAUCAAGUCAGCUGAUCAGUGUCAGAAGGUCAUUAAUGCGUUUGAUUGGAUGAAGGUGGAACUGUUAGUCAUAAUAGAGGAGACAAAAUCGUUGGAGUGAGGAGAAGCCGACGUGUCGUCCUCCUGAGGAAAAUGUGUGUGAGGACAAAAGGACACAAUAAAGUCAUGACGUCAGAGGACGCAGCCUCUGUUUCCUCUGAUCAUGUUACACUGUUAGAUCUGUGAUGACAUCAGCAGGAGGAGAGCUAGUUAGCAUUAGCUGCUAAUAGUAAAAAGGAGUCCUGGGUGCGAUAUUUUUUUUCGUAGGAUGGUAGGGGAAGGUACUGCCUUUUCCGCCUCUGACUGGCUAGAAGAGCUCUCCUCCGGUUGGUUAUUUGCUAUAUGCUGUCGGCUAGUCUGUUUUGAUCGUCUUUACCACCAACAGAAGUAAACAAAGUCAAUCCAACAGUGUGAUAAGUGCGUGCCAUCAGAUUUAUAUUAAUGGAAAGCACAUCGCCGAAUUUAAGGUUGACACCUAAAGUGUAUGUCCACAUCUUAACAUAUGUUCUCAUA